UUCUCAUUCAGCACACAUCGUGAUACUUGCUGUCAGUUCCACAGUUUGGCUGAAAAGACGUAAAGGAAGCAGUCAGUCCAGUGGUGUUUCUGGAGAGGUAUUCCUUCAGAAAUGGAGAAGACAGAAAGCUGCGGAGGCAGACAUUUGCAGCAGAUUGUUUGCAGAUAACACUGUAGUUCUCCAUCAUGCACAAGGACUCACCUCGUUAACUCUUUAUCCCCCGCACACACAGAAAUGGUCCCUGGAUCAGUGAUUAGACUUUGCAGUGGUUUGAUUUUUGCAGAAGAUGUAACUUUGUUUUAAUUAUAAGCUCAUGAUGAAUACAUUACAGAACCAGUGAUGAAAACAAUAGUUAAACAUAGUAUUUUUCGCAUUGAUA